rnacentral:piRNA from 1 species
GCCUGUUGGGUGGAAUGAAAAUUUAAAGC